AUUGAACGCUGGCGGCAGGCUUAACACAUGCAAGUCGAGCGAGCGGCGGACGGGUGAGUAAUGUCUGGGAAACUGCCUGAUGGAGGGGGAUAACUACUGGAAACGGUGGCUAAUACCGCAUACCAUCAGAUGUACCCAGAUGGGAUUAGCUAGUAGGUGGGGUAAUGGCUCACCUAGGCGACGAUCCCUAGCUGGUCUGAGAGGAUGACCAGCCACACUGGAACUGAGACACGGCCCAGACUCCUACGGGAGGCAGCAGUGGGGAAUAUUGCACAAUGGGCGCAAGCCUGAUGCAGCCAUGCCGCGUGUAUGAAGAAGGCCCUAGGGUUGUAAAGUACUUUCAGCCGGGAGGCGUUACCCACAGAAGAAGCACCGGCUAACUCCGUGCCAGCAGCCGCGGUAAUAC
rnacentral:rRNA from 1 species